rnacentral:piRNA from 1 species
UCUGGGAUUGUUGCGCUAAAUGGCUGA